UUUUAGUAGAGACGGGGUUUCACCAUGUUGGCCAGGCUAGUCUCGAACUCCUGACCUCAUGUGAUCCACCCACCUCGGCCCCCUCAAAGUGCUGGGAUUACAGGCGCGAGCCACCAUGCCCGGCCAUCUGGAUAAUUUUUGUAUUUUUAGUAGAGACGGUUUCAGCAUGUUGGCCAGGCUAUUCUCGAAUUCCUGACCUCAAGUAAUCUGCCCUCCUUGGCCUCCCAAAGUGGUGGGAUUACAGGCGUGAGCCACUGUGUCCGCCCACUUUUAAUUAAUGCUAUACAUUUGAUAAGCUUUCCUAUUAAGAAUUUAAUGUGAUCAUUUUAUCAUCAAAUUACUUUUAUCAUACUGUCUUAGAAAUAUUUUUAAACUUUGCUUUUAUGUAGAAAAGGUCAAUUACCAAACAGGGUAUUGUUUUAUAGGCUACUGGUGUUUCCCAUAUGUUUAUGUUUUGUGCUGUCCAUGAUAGAGAGGUGGUGUCUGUAGUCUUUUGAGUCCUUUUAACUAUAAAAAGCCAAUAGCAGUUGGUGCCAUGGUUCCACACCCUGGGGUGGAGGUGAGAGAUGAGUUCCUGCCAUCUUUUUUGGGAUGGCCCAUUAGCCUGUUGGCACCCAUCCCUCAAAAGAUGGGUUUAAUGAUAAAUUUGGUCGCAUGUAGGCAUCUGUCUGGGAAGGAAUCUGUACCUUGAUACUCUGAGAGUGUUUUCCUGGGCUAACCUCAGAGCCAAUACUUUACUUCUCAGGAAGUAAUCUGUGGGAUCAAGACAACAAUUUACACGUUAAAAAAUAAACUGCACAGCCCACUAGCAUCAACAUAGCUUUAUGCUUUUGACUUCAUUCAUCUGCUACUAUGACCUUUUUACUUAUUUAUUUUUUAUUUUUUACCAGUGUGCAGUAUGCCUAUGUAAUUCUAUAAGCGUUUUAGUUUUUAAAAUUGUAAUGCUUUCUGUUGCUCAUAUAUUGAUCAAAAACUGAUCAACCUAUGAGUAGUACUUUGAGGUUGUAUGUGUUCGAUUUUGUCUCCUCCUGCAGUGAAUUGAUUUUUCUUAAGCAGAUUGAUUAGAUGGAGCUGCCUUGAUUUAUACAUCAGUGAAAGAAGAGAAAAACCUCGACUUGUUGUAUAAGUAUAUUGUUCAUAAAACAUACGGUUUCCACUUCACCACACCUGCCUUAGUUGUGGAAAAGGAUGCCGUUUUUAUGUGAGUUAUUUUGAGCUGAUGCUUUGAAACUCUUCUUUUUAAAGUACAUUUGCUUUUUACAUUUUACCCCUUCAAGGAAGGUGCCUUCUGUCUAUGUCUUCUACAGCCAGCUCUCUCACUGCACCUUCUCUCUGUUCCUUUCCGGAUUAUGAGGCAUCUGCCUGAGGGAAGUGGGUGGUGUGGUCAGGGGUGCUGCCUUUCUUCCUUGAGAGCAAGUUGCCAAAACCUAAGCCAGCCAUUUUUGGCACUCACUGUCAACUCUGGUAAAAUACUGGCUGGGGAGGGAAUAUAGGGAAUUGUGCUUGGGGGAUCCUGAAUGUCUUCUAUUAAAGCGCCUGCUUUAUCUGUGUGUUGGCAGGGAUGAUUGCAAACAUCCUCUCGGCAUCUCUGUCAGCAUGGGCUUUGGCUAUGUUAAGUGCUUACUGUGUUUCUGGCAUUUCACAUUUUGGGAGCCACCGGGAUUGAUUGUCCUCGAUAGAGACUUGGAUACCUGUUUUCCUAAGCUGGUGUCUUUCUCUCACUGGAGAAUCAUAGUGUUGCUGGAUGCAUAAAUAUGAAGCUGUGGUCUCUGACAGGACUUGUGUUAGCAGAUUGAUGUUCAGGCUUCAGUAUCCUCCUGACUUAACAAACAAUUACAUUAUUCAUUCAGGAAACCUUAUUCAGCACCCACUAGGUGCUCAGGUUCUCUGCAAAGGACACAGAAAUGAAUGAUACGUGUUCCUUGCAUAUGGCACUGUCUAGAGGGGACAUACACAGCUGAAGAAGGGAAGGGCAGUGAUGGGGUUAUGGAGGAAGUAUGGCAGGGAAAGCAGGAGGGUGAUGCUGGAAGACAAAUGGUAGAUCCCAGGCAGACUGGAAAGAAUUGCAAUAGGGGGAGCCGGGGAGUGCAGUCUGUGAGAGGCUGGAAAUGUGAAAGCCAGGAGCUCUCAGGGAUUUGGGUUGCCUCCUGCACAGUCAAGGAGAGUGUCACUCAGGCUAGUCAUAGAUGGCAUACCUACAGGCUUGGGCUGAUUUUAGAUAGUUGUUCAGAGCAGUCAGGCAGGCGCCAGAGGCACAAGCCCAGUGAGAGGUGUGUUUGGAAUCACUUGGUAUCCAAAUCACAUGUCAUCCCUAGGAGCAAGGAGACCGGUUGGAUUUGGGGCUGGUCUGGAAUGAAGAAGCAUCUCUCAGCUUCGGAAGGCUGCAUGGCUCACGGCAGUAUCUCAAUCAUGCCCUGCCCGUUUGCACAUUUGGUCCUGUUGGUAGUUACCUCUCUGGUGACUGGCAAAGUCAGCAAGGAUACUGGGGUGGAGCACCCUGGCUAAGCACCCUCUUGAUUAUAGAGCUAUGGAGUAGAAGUCAGAUGGAGAAUGAGAGGCCUGUGAGAACAAUCAGUCAGUUGCCAUCUUUCAGAGCUGCUCGAGUUCAAAAGUGUGUCAUACAGGGUAUUUUACCAUUGCUACCUUUAAGGGAUUCAGGUGGGAACCCUAGGCUGUGGCUUCACAUAAUGGAACUUGGGUGCCAUCCUACCCUGUGAUGUUGAGCUGGCCAGCACUGGUGUAGGAACCUCAAGGACUCUGUGCUCCUCUGGUUUGGGGCCUAGGAUAAACACAGGCCCUGCUUGCCCCUUGGUUCUAGGACACAUCUUCCCAUGCCAGCAAAGUUAAUGAACCAGUCCACAAGAUAACUGUUGAAAGAAUUCUUAGAGAAACAACCCACAGGAGGGGAGCCAUGACAGAGCCCAAGAAAACCAUCCCAUCCUGAGCUCUGCCUUCUGUGCUGCUCUCUGCAUCCUAUUCUCUGUCGGAACAGGACCCCACUGUGUCCUUGCUCUUCUAGGCAGAGUUGUGGGAGAGUGCUAAAUGCUUUUGAGUGGGGCAGCCUGUGGAAUGGGAUCUCAUACUGGCUCCUUAGACCUUGGGCCCAUGAACUCAGUAUGGAGCAGGACCUGCGAUGUUCUGAUGGAUUAUACCCACGGUGUAUUUUGGCACAUCUGCCAAAAGCUACAAACAACCCCCAACAACUACACACUUUAUCUUGUGAGAAGGGUCCUACCCAGGAGUCCUGAAUGUGAUCUGAGUAUGCUCUAAGGCAGCCCCAGGAAAAGCAAUUCAGUCCCUCUCUCUUUGCCUUUAGACCUGCAGGCUGGGACAAUGAAAAGAAAAUAGCUAUUUUACAUGAAAAUUUUACAACCGUGAAGCCGGAAGAUGCAUAUGAAGACUUUAUUGUGAAACCUCCCGUGAGAAAGCUGGUCCACGACAAAGAGUUGGCAGCAGAAGAUGAGCAGGUGUUCCUAAUGAAGCAACAGUCACUCCUUGCCAAGCAACCAGCCACGCCCACGAGAGCUUCUGAAUCUCCUGCAAGAGGACCCUCUGGCUCUCCAAGGACCCAGGGUCGGGGAGGGCCAGCCAGUGUGCCUAGCUCCUCCCCAGGCACGUCAGUAAAAAAGCCGGACCCAAACAUCAAAAAUAAUGCAGCAAGUGAAGGGGUGUUGGCCAGCUUCUUCAACAGUCUGUUGAGUAAAAAGACAGGCUCUCCUGGAAGUCCUGGUGCUGGUGGGGUGCAGAGCACAGCCAAGAAGUCAGGACAAAAGACUGUGUUGUCAAAUGUUCAGGAAGAACUGGAUAGAAUGACUCGAAAGCCAGACUCUAUGGUAACAAACUCUUCAACAGAAAAUGAAGCCUGAACCUCCUUAAAAAGUGCAUAUGUCGAAUGACCAAAUAACUAUGUAUAUUGAUCUGCUAAGACCAGGAUUUUUCUGAUAUGGCACAUGCUAUCAGUUUUUUGGGGCAGGGGAGAUGAACUUU
rnacentral:sRNA from 1 species